UUCGUUUAUCAAUGAGUGCAGAAAGGAAGAGAAGACAUCAUCGUUGCAGCAAUUUAUAUUCUCGUCAUCUUCCUCAUUGCUUCUUACAAUCCCUUGGUUUUGGUUUGGUAAUGAUUCUCUU